UAGCUCAGUCCAUAGAGACUUGGCUUGGGAACCAGAGGGCUGCUGGUUCAAGUCCAGCACGCACCA